CCCUUAGAUGUUCGGGGCCGCACGCGCGCUACACUGAAUGAAUCAGCGAGUGUAUGUCCUAGGCCGAAAGGUCCGGGUAACCCGUUGAACCUCAUUCGUGAUUGGGAUAGGGACUUGCAAUUGUUUCCCUUGAACGAGGAAUUCCCAGUAAGCGCAAGUCAUCAGCUUGCGUUGAUUACGUCCCUGCCCUUUGUACACACCGCCCGUCGCUACUACCGAUUGAACGUUUUAGUGAGGUAUUUGGAUCGGACCUGAAGGGGUUCACGCCCUUUCUGUGUCUGAGAAGACUCCCAAACUUGAGCGUUUAGAGGAAGUAAAAGUCGUAACA
rnacentral:rRNA from 1 species